rnacentral:rRNA from 1 species
GAUGAACGCUGACAGAAUGCUUAACACAUGCAAGUCUACUUGAAUUUGGGUUUUUUAACUUAGAUUUGGGUGGCGGACGGGUGAGUAACGUGUAAAGAACUUGCCUCACAGCUAGGGACAACAUUUGGAAACGAAUGCUAAUACCUGAUAUUAUGAUUAUAAGGCAUCUUAGAAUUAUGAAAGCUAUAUGCGCUGUGAGAGAGCUUUGCGUCCCAUUAGCUAGUUGGUGAGGUAACGGCUCACCAAGGCGAUGAUGGGUAGCCGGCCUGAGAGGGUGAACGGCCACAAGGGGACUGAGACACGGCACUUACUCCUACGGGAGGCAGCAGUGGGGAAUAUUGGACAAUGGACCAAGAGUCUGAUCCAGCGAUUCUGUGUGCACGAUGACGUUUUUCGGAAUGUAAAGUGCUUUCAGUUGGGAAGAAAAAAAUGACGGUACCAACAGAAGAAGUGACGGCUAAAUACGUG